rnacentral:lncRNA from 1 species
GGAAAAACAAAGUGUUUAACGAUUAGGUCCAAUUCUACUAUUUUUGUACCGAGGUAAGUUCGUAUGUAAAUAAUGCAUUGUUAUAUUUAUGUUUUAAAUGCUUUAAUAUUGUAUGAAUUGUGAUUGACUCUUUGGAUGUAUUCGACAAAGUUUUGACAAGCGUAAAAUCCCGGUUGAACCUUAGAAAUAGAAUAGGAUACAAGUGACAUGUCACUAGGGAUGUAACACCCCUCAACCGUAUUCAAUGCUG